AGAAUGGGAUGGGAGCUGUUGUGGCCAUCUUUGGAAAAUAUAAAAUGUCACUGAGGGGGAAGGUACAUGUAAGAACUAUGCUCUGCCUCCUUUUUCCUCUUGCCAGUUGGAGCCAAAUCAUUCAGAUUUCCAGAUUGUGAGGAAUCCUUCAGCCCCCGUGGUAUAGCCACUGACACACUAUCCAGCUGCCACAGUUGUGGGUGUUGAACCCUACCCUUACCCUUAGGCCUUCGGUGGAACCACGUGGAUCUCCCCGGGGCCUCCAGGAGGAGAAACGUGCUCUGUCUCCUUGGCCAGGAAAGGUGAAGCUGUGUGACCUAGAACACACACUCCUGACCUCUCUGAGCCACUCCUAGUAGCAGGCUGUGAGCUGCUUGUCUCACUACGUAGCUAGGAAAUAACAGCAUGAAAGUGCCUCAGAAAGGAACUACCAGUGGCUGUACAGUUACUACACAUCGUUAGUAAUAACGGCACUCCCCUCCCAAGAUGACAGCAGAAAGGGAUUCAGCAGCAGAAGGCACAGCUCUUUUGCUUCUGGGUGCCAGCAAACCCUUCAUUGAGCACAUAUUGAGCAUCUGCUGUAUAUCAGGACCUGGGCAGCACCAUGGACACAAUAAUGCACUCGGCGUGCACAGCCCCGGCCCUCAAAGGCCCCCCAUGUUGGCUGUUCCAGAAACACAGGAGCUGGGGAGGUGGCAUCAAAGCAGAGACCUAAAAGAUACUGAAGAAUUAGCCAAAUGGAAAAGACAGGGUGAUUUCCUGAUAGAGGAACUGCAUAUGCAAGGGCCCAGGGUCCAGGGAGCAGGGGGCUCCUGGGGAAAGACCAGCCAUUCUGAUGGCUGGAGCGUAGAGCCUCAGCACCCAUGCAGAGCUUGAGGGGGAUUAAAUAGUAAGCGAAUAAAGAAAGAAAAUGC
rnacentral:lncRNA from 1 species